rnacentral:rRNA from 1 species
GGGCGCAAGCCUGAUGCAGCGACGCCGCGUGAGGGAUGGAGGCCUUCGGGUUGUAAACCUCUUUUGUUUGGGAGCAAGCCUUCGGGUGAGUGUACCUUUCGAAUAAGCGCCGGCUAACUACGUGCCAGCAGCCGCGGUAAUACGUAGGGCGCAAGCGUUAUCCGGAUUUAUUGGGCGUAAAGGGCUCGUAGGCGACUCGUCGCGUCCGGUGUGAAAGUCCAUCGCUUAACGGUGGAUCUGCGCCGGGUACGGGCGGGCUGGAGUGCGGUAGGGGAGACUGGAAUUCCCGGUGUAACGGUGGAAUGUGUAGAUAUCGGGAAGAACACC